rnacentral:rRNA from 1 species
AGCGAACGCUGGCGGCAGGCCUAACACAUGCAAGUCGAACGAACUCUUCGGAGUUAGUGGCGGACGGGUGAGUAACACGUGGGAACGUGCCUUUUGGUUCGGAAUAACUCAGGGAAACUUGUGCUAAUACCGAAUGUGCCCUUCGGGGGAAAGAUUUAUCGCCAUUAGAGCGGCCCGCGUCUGAUUAGCUAGUUGGUGAGGUAACGGCUCACCAAGGCGACGAUCAGUAGCUGGUCUGAGAGGAUGACCAGCCACACUGGGACUGAGACACGGCCCAGACUCCUACGGGAGGCAGCAGUGGGAAUCUUGCGCAAUGGGCGAAAGCCUGACGCAGCCAUGCCGCGUGAAUGAUGAAGGUCUUAGGAUUGUAAAAUUCUUUCACCGGGGACGAUAAUGACGGUACCCGGAGAAGAAGCCCCGGCUAACUUCGUG